UACGUAGGGUGCGAGCGUUGUCCGGAAUUAUUGGGCGUAAAGGGCUCGUAGGCGGUUUGUCGCGUCGGGAGUGAAAACCAUGGGCUUAACUCAUGGCUUGCUUCCGAUACGGGCAGACUAGAGGUAUGCAGGGGAGAACGGAAUUCCUGGUGUAGCGGUGAAAUGCGCAGAUAUCAGGAGGAACACCAGCGGCGAAGGCGGCGCUCUGGGCCGGAACUGACGCUGAGGAGCGAAAGCGUGGGGAGCGAACAGG
rnacentral:rRNA from 1 species